rnacentral:rRNA from 1 species
AGGCUUCUGGGGGAUACUGACGAACUUGGAACCGGGAGAGGUAAGACGGUACUUCGGGGGUAGGAGUGAAAUCUUGUAAUCCUUGAGGGACCACCGAUGGCGAAGGCGUCUUACCAGAACGGGUUCGACGGUGAGGGACGAAAGCUGGGGGAGCGAACCGGAUUAGAUACCCGGGUAGUCCCAGCCGUAAACGAUGCUCGCUAGGUGUGUGGGAUGGUGCGACCG